rnacentral:rRNA from 1 species
UACGUAGGGUGCGAGCGUUGUCCGGAAUUAUUGGGCGUAAAGGGCUCGUAGGCGGUUUGUUGCGUCGGGAGUGAAAACUCAGGGCUUAACCCUGAGCCUGCUUCCGAUACGGGCAGACUAGAGGUAUGCAGGGGAGAACGGAAUUCCUGGUGUAGCGGUGGAAUGCGCAGAUAUCAGGAAGAACACCCGUGGCGAAGGCGGCUCUCUGGAACGCAACUGACGCUGAGACGCGAAAGCGUGGGAGCAAACAGG